rnacentral:rRNA from 1 species
AGUGCGUCGUAGUCCGGAUUGGAGUCUGCAACUCGACUCCAUGAAGUCGGAAUCGCUAGUAAUCGUGGAUCAGAAUGCCACGGUGAAUACGUUCCCGGGCCUUGUACACACCGCCCGUCACACCAUGGGAGUGGGUUGCAAAAGAAGUAGGUAGCUUAACCUUCGGGAGGGCGCUUACCACUUUGUGAUUCAUGACUGGGGUGAAGUCGUAACAAGGUAACCGUAGGGGAACCUGCGGUUGGAUCACCUCCUUACCUUAAAGAA